GGGGACUGCGACGGCCUGUCGCCUGGACAACAAGGAAAGUGAGUCCUGGGGGGCUCUGCUGAGCGGAGAGCGGCUGGACACCUGGAUCUGCUCCCUCCUGGGUUCCCUCAUGGUGGGGCUCAGUGGGGUCUUCCCGUUGCUUGUCAUUCCCCUAGAGAUGGGGACCAUGCUGCGCUCAGAAGCUGGGGCCUGGCGCCUGAAGCAGCUGCUCAGCUUCGCCCUGGGGGGACUCUUGGGCAAUGUGUUUCUGCAUCUGCUGCCCGAAGCCUGGGCCUACACGUGCAGCACCAGCCCUGGCCCCCAACAAAGACCCCACUGCUGCUGCUGCCGCGCUCAAUGGAGGCCACUGUCUGGCCCAGCCGGCCGCAGAGCCCGGCCUCGGUGCCGUGGUCCGGAGCAUCAAAGUCAGCGGCUACCUCAACCUGCUGGCCAACACCAUCGAUAACUUCACCCACGGGCUGGCUGUGGCUGCCAGCUUCCUUGUGAGCAAGAAGAUCGGGCUCCUGACAACCAUGGCCAUCCUCCUGCAUGAGAUCCCCC
rnacentral:lncRNA from 1 species